AUUGAACGCUGGCGGCAGGCCUAACACAUGCAAGUCGAACGGCAGAACGGUACUUGCUCGUGGAUUCAGCGGCGGACGGGUGAGUAAUGCCUAGGAACCUCCCUAUCUACUUUUUCGUGCGUGAGGACGCAGGCGCAAUUACCCUAUUCCCGCAGACGACGUACGGGUGGAAGCUUGGGAUCUUCCGACCUUGCGCGAUCGAAUGUGCCAAUGUCGGAUUAGCUAGUUGGUGGGGUAAAGGCCCACCAAGGCGACGAUCCGUAGCUGGUCUGAGAGGAUGAUCAGUCACACUGGAACUGAGACACGGUCCAGACUCCUACGGGAGGCAGCAGUGGGGAAUAUUGGACAAUGGGCGAAAGCCUGAUCCAGCCAUACCGCGUGUGUGAAGAAGGUCUUCGGGUUGUAAAGCACUUUUAGUGGGAAGGAAGAGCAGUAGGUUAAUACCUCGCUGUUUUGACGUUACCAACAGAAUAAGCACCGGCUAACUUCGUG
rnacentral:rRNA from 1 species